AAUGGGGCACCGAGGAAUGAUGCCAGCACCUUGACAAACUUUACCGGCUCUAACAUCAUCUCUUCAUACUUUAGGAAAAGAAUUCUAUCAGACUUUAUAACGCUCUCUCUCCAAUAUUCGAGACAGUGAUCCCAGUAAGGACCAUAGCCCAAUACGCCCUCGCAAAACAUGUUGAAUCCAACAUUAAUAUCAGGUUUUUCUCCAAAAAACUCACUCAUAAAGUGCCACCGUGACACGAAUGCAUCCUUAGGAUCUCGGCAGAUGUACACGAUUCGGCAACCUUGGAUGCUUAUGGACUCUGGAAGCAAUGAAAGGGGCAUGUGAGUAGCAAGGAUCCUCGGAGGCGGGAGUUUUUCGAUGAAGGUCAGGUCCCCAUUUAAAGGGAUUUCAACGUCAAUGGUUGGAAUGACUUCUUGGGGGUGACGGGUGAGAAGCGGGUGGUUACCAGAGUCAUAGUGAGAACGGUUGGUGAUAGCAAAUGAGAGAGCCUUCAACCAAGUUGUACCACACUUGGGGUUCGUGGCGAGGAUGAUAUCGUCAUGGCGAGCCUUGAAGGUCGCCUCCAGGAGCAUAAUCCUCUCAAGAAAAAUCCGUCGAAACCAGAAGUUCUUGUAGAGAAAUAGUGGCUCUGACGGAGUCUCUCUCAUUGGAAGUUUGGAUAUGAGAUCAGUACCAUGGCUUUCGGGCGAGCUGUUUGUGGCGCUUCUCUCCUCCUUGGCCUGUGACAUUGCUCAGCUGCUUUGGAGUUUUUGCAGUCUCUCGCUGGGAUGGAAUGGAUGGUGUAGCUGGUGCGGAUUGAGCAGCACUGCUGGCGUGCGGAACAUAAAUAGCAGGUAGCCCUUCGUGAGCCAAUGCGGCAAUGCCCAACAUUCUUGCUCCAAAGAGAUCUAGAAGAAAAAAAGUUUAAGGGCACCGACACUACCGGGAAUCAUGGGCCAGAUCCACGAACAGAUGCCAGCUGGACCCAACUAGCUCUGAGCUAGUUGGGCGUGGCAUCUGAUUAUAUUAUAGAGGGAAUACGAUCCGGUUGGUAUGGAUGCCGACAUAUCACCCUAUCAAGAUUGAUCCAGAAAACUGGCAUGCAGAUCUCAUGGUGUCUCACUUGAUGCUAAUCAGUGUUACACAUAAAUUAACAGCAGUGAAUGAACUGCUUCAAGUUUCCAGCGACAAAACAGUGGACUAUGAGUAGCACUUAAAUCAGCACAAAACAGUGGAACUACGCCAGUUGAAGUAGUCUCGAUCAUCACCACUGUGAUUAGCAGUAGAUAUCUGUUCUAUUCCAAAUCUUUCACCUUUGGAACUUUAGAUGUGUGUAUUUUCACAUCAUCAACUAUUUAAGUUGAGCGCCCUACGACAACCGACUCUUAUAGAGAUGAAGUUAUUCAUUACACAGUUUAUAGUACAAUCAUGACAGGGCAAAUGGUUUUAGAAACUGGCAGCAUGAAUGGACUUAUUUUCCUGAAAAUGGAAUCAACAUGCCUGGUGAGUUAUGAUUAUUAUAUUUCAUGUCGCCAUGACCUAUUAGUUCCUUGAUCGUGUAUGGGAGUAAUGUUGAAGUUUCUCAAGCUAUGAGGAAGACAAUGACUUCAUGGUGGAAAGGGAAAGACAUUAUACUGCUACUUCGCUUUUACUCUAUGGUGUUUUUGACAGUGAAGGGUUGCAGAAUCUGACCGAAAAUAGUGGGGAGAAUGGCUUUUGAUGAUGCACACUUCAGCAGGGCUUUGGGAUUGCAUCAAAAUUUUUAAUGUUAAAGUGAUAACAGAUGAACGUGCGUGAAUGCAUUCCAUGUCAUGUGCUACCAGAAUGCUAGUCAUGCUUUUUGUUUGCAGCUAGUGCAUGCCAAACCCAGGAUGUGCAUGUACAAGAUGGCAGGCGGCAAUAUAUAUACAUGAGUCUUAUUAGUUAUCACAAUGAAUAAUAAGUUCAGAUAGACAAACAUCAUCUGUGCAGUCCCUGAACCAUCAGGAGCUCGGAGCACACGGCGUCGAUGAGUUCUUCUUCAGGUCCUGCUCCCUGGUGGACGGCACCGGUCUUGACACCCCGCCGCGCCCGGCUGGGAAUCAGGCUUGGUCCGACCCUGCGCUGCAUCUGGUGCCUCUUCAACGGGUCUUCGACAGGCUCGGCGUGGCGCUUCAUGGGCCACCAUUGAGGCUCGAGGUCGAGCUUGCCCUGGACCGGCUGCAGCUGGGCGGCAACACACCAGCUGUGGCCACGGAAGGGCUCAUCACCGUCGUGGCGGCAUCUUUGGCAACGGCCGCCUCAUCUGCACCGGGCGGAUCGACGGUCAUGGCGCCGGCAGGCACCCCCCGGCGGCCCCCGCUUAUGACCAUCCUGGGCUGCUCGCAGUGCCAACUGCUGGGUCGCUCCACGGGCCAGCCGCUACCAUGGCGUGGGGGGCUCCAUGGGCCAACCCCCUGGGUCCUAACUCUGGCUCGGGCGCACGCCUUGGCGCCUGCUGGGCUGUUCCCCAGCGGUGCGCAGGAUGGGCCAGCGCUCUCCCCUAGGCCGGUCGCUGCUACCGUGGAGGGGGCGAGCGCGCGGGCCACUCUCCCUGACGUCGCGGCGCUCUCCUCUAGGCCGGUCGACGCUGAGCUGGGCCAGGACACCGCUUCGCCUAAGGAUGGCCAAGACACACCUGCUACAACAUUGCACGACAUGCAGAUACCUACAUCCGGCGCCAUGGGCGCCCAUGCUACUACCCACGCUGCUGCUGAAGUCAUCCACGACACGGGGGCUACCUCCGCGGCGGAGGGUGGGUCCGUCGACAACCUCUUCGCCGCACUGGCCCCGCCGAUACUGCAGCAGCUCCCGAUGCGUUGCCAGCGCACGCGCCGAAGCUUCGACAUGUCCUCAGUCCGCAAGAGUGCCAGACUUGCCACGAAGCCGUCGGUGCCAGCAAUGAAGCGCGCCCAACGCAACUUGUGGUGCAAGUUAGGUGUCUCGGAUCAUGAGCUACGUCCAGUUGAGGACAUAUUGCAGGAAUACAUAAACUCACACCAGUGGCCGCUCCGGGACCAUAUCAUAGAAGCUAUGAUGGCCCUGUUCGACCUGGACGACGAAGGAGCGGAAUAGAUCAAUGAAGCACUUAUCCAGCAUGCUGGACAGACAGUCCAUGACAUCCAGAACAAGCUCGCCCUAUGUCAAGAAUGACUCGCCGGGGACCUAUCUACUGUUGGAGAACUGCCAUGUAUCUAAACAUCCUAACGUACUGCUUUAUGUUUAAUCCUCCGCGCCCUGCUGGCUGCGACCUUCGGGCUAGGAGCUGCGAUAGCCUUUCUGGCUCAACCUUUCGGUUUUAUUGUACGCGACAUAGACUUCGCCCUGCUGGCUUCAACCUUCAGGCAACGCAUAUGCAUGUGCAUCGACCUUCCACCGCAAAUGUCGUCACUACUUACUCCGACGAGUUUCGUUAUCAUAGGUGCGCAGCCGUAGCCUCAUCCACCGCGGCCUGGUUUAGCACAGCCUACAAGCACUACGAACACUACGCUUCUACCUGCUGCGCCGUUAAGUCUUCCAAAUGCAUGUAGCUAGCUUCGACACCAUCAGUUGGAGCGUGCGCGGCCUCAAUGCUCCCGCGAGAUGCAUGGUCGUCCAUGAAACAAUAAAAGCCACACCAUGCCAUAUUGCAUGCCUUCAGGAAACUAAGCUCAACCAAAUUGAUGCAACACUCGCUGCCUUCUUAGGUGGCUACCGCCUGUCUAAUUUCGCCUACAAACCAGCGCAGGGCACAAAGGGAGGAAUACUAAUUCUUUGGGAUGCCAAUUUCGUUGACCUUACUGAUAUCCAAAUCGGGCGCUUCUCACUUACGGCAACAGUAUCGGCCAAACACUACAGCACUGAUUAUCGCCUAACGACGGUCUACGGCCCAUCCAGGACGAACCUGAAAUUGGCAUUCAUGCAACAUAUGCGAAACAUGAAGCCCGACAACGAUACCAGGUGGUUAAUUAUUGGUGAUUUCAAUCUCAUAUACAAGGCACGAGACAAAAACAACAGAAGAUUGAACCUUAACCUGAUGCGUCGUUUCCAAAACACCCUAGCUUUCUGUGGCCUUAAAGAAAUUCAUCUACAAAACCGCAAAUACACGUGGAGAAAUGAAAGGUGCCAACCAACGCUGUCACGUCUGGACCGCUUCUUCUGCAAUGAAGCCUGGGACAUCGCAUUCGAUGACCACACCCUACACGCCCUUUCCUCCUCUCACUCCGACCACUACCCUCUGUUGCUAGUGCGACUGUCUGGACCACGGAAACCAUGACCGUUUAAAUUUGAGAACUUUUGGACAAAACUACCACAGUUUCAGGACAUUGUACAACGAACAUGGUGCCUUCCAACGCACCAUACCGAGCCGUUCCACUGCCUAGGUCACAAGUUGCACUUAACGGCAAUGGCGCUCAGGAAAUGGAGCAAUUCCAUCAUCUCAGACGCUAAACUAAAGCUGCAGAUGGCACAAGUGGUGAUACUACAUCUAGAUAUGGCACAAGACCUUAGAUCCCUCUCGGAUGCUGAAUUUGCCCUACGAGCCAAACUCAAAAAAUGUAUUCUAGGGUGGGCAGUAAUCGAGCAAGCAAGGAGACGGCAGUCAUCGCGCAUCAACAACCUACGUGAGGGAGAUGUGAAUACACGUUACUUCCAUCUUAAGGCCAACGCGCGAAGAAGAAAAAAUUUCAUACAAAGGCUGAGAUCCGACACAGGUUGGGCCCUCACGCAUCAAGACAAGCAAGAUGUCAUUCAUGACCACUUCAGCAGUUUUAUGAUGACACCCCAACAACACACACGAGACCUGCGCUGGGAAAAUCUACACCACUCCCAGGAAGAGCUUUCUGACCUGGACCGGCCGUUCGAAGAAAUGGAGAUCCUACAUGACAUAAAACAAUUACCGCAUGAUCGGGCACCCGGCCCUGACGGCUUCACAGGCCUCUUCUUCAAGACAUGCUGGAACACCAUCAAAGGAGACAUAAUGUCGGCGAUUAACGCUUUCUACAAUAUCCGCUGCAACGACCUUAACCUCCUAAAUAAGGCUAACAUCGUUCUUAUCCCUAAAAAGGAGGGUGCAGAAACCAUUCUAGAUUAUCGGCCAAUCAGCCUCAUCCACGCAUUUUUGCGAAAAUCAUCACUAAAGUUCUGGCGCUCCAACUCAGCCCUCAUAUGAAUGCCAUCAUCUCACCCUGUCAGAGCGCAUUCAUCAAGGGCUGUAGUAUUCAUGACAACUUCUUAUAUGUCAGAAAUAUUGCCCGCCGUUUCCACCGAAAGGCAACCCCGGCCCUAUUCAUGAAACUUGACAUCUCAAAAGCUUUUGAUUCAGUACGCUGGGACUACCUCAUCGAUUUGCUGCAGCACAAAGGCUUCCCUGCUCAUUGGAACCAAUGGAUUACGGCCCUUCUUGCCACCUCAACUUCAAAAGUGCUACUGAACGGCACGCCUUUGCCUCCGAUCCACCACGAAAGAGGCCUCAAACAGGGCGACCCGCUUUCACCCCUCCUUUUUGUUCUGGCCAUCGACCCACUACAGCACAUUAUCACUCAGGCGACUCAGAGGAGCCUACUCACCAAGCUAGGAGGAAGAGCAGCAAGAUUUACAGCAUCCCUGUACGCCGACGAUGCGGUGAUUUUCAUUAAGCCCACACGUAAAGACAUCUCCAACUUGGCAAGCAUCCUGCAAAAAUUUGGGGAAGCCACAGGGCUACACACGAAUCUGCACAAGACGCAGAUUGCGCCCAUCAGCUGUCAUACCAUUGACCUGGACCGCUUACUUAACGAUUUGCCGACGACAAGAACAAACUUCCCAAUGCGAUACCUUGGCCUCCCAUUAUCAACAAGGCGCCUCAGGAAAAUUGAGUUCCAACCACUCAUAGAUAAAGUGGCAGGUAAACUAUCGUCAUGGACGGGACGUAACCUAACACAGGCCGGACGAAUAACCCUCACAAAGUCGGUCCUCUCUUCGCAGCUAGUAUAUUUCUUUACAGCUCUAAAACCAAGCAACGAAGUACUCCACGACAUAGACAAAAUCCGAAAAAAAUUCCUAUGGGCAGGAGACCAACAACUAAUUGGGGGUAAAUGCAAAGUCAAUUGGACGAAAACCUGCCUACUAAAACAAUAUGGGGACCUGGGCAUCCCAGACCUGGAGAAAUUCGCACGAGCCCUCCGGAUCAGGUGGCUUUGGCAUGAAUGGGUGUCACCGGAAUAACCCUGGAACAACACGGAAACCCCAUGCGACGAGACUGACAGGCAACUGUUUGCUGCAUGCACGUCUAUCUCCCUGGGCGACGGCAAAAAAACCAAUUUCUGGGCAUCUGGAUGGCUACAUGGCCAGCACCCCAAGGACAUCGCCCCGCUCGUCUACGCCAUUUCACGCAGAAAGAACAGGAGCAUCCAUGAUGCCAUCAGUAAUAAUAACUGGAUCCGCGACCUCACAAUCGACAGCAACAUUACCGCUUCUCAUCUAGCGUCGUUUGCCCACUUAUGGCACAUGGUCAAUGGUACGGAGCUGAGGACAGGGGAGGCUGACACUAUUACCUGGAAGCUAACAAAAUCGAGCAUGUAUACAACGACCUCGGCAUAUAAAGCACAAUUCCUGGGUUGCACCGAAACACCCAAUAUAUCUUCCAUCUAGAAAUCAUGGACGCCACCAAAGUGCAAAUUUUUCACGUGGCUAAUUACACAAAACCGAGUUUGGUGAGCUGAUCGCUUGGCCAAGCAUGGCUGGCCCCACAACGCCACUUGCGCUCUGUGCAGAUGCACUAUGGAGACUGGACACCACUUGUUAGCUGAGUGCAGGUACACAAGGAGAAUCUGGGAUCAAACGGCGACAUGGCUGGCACAGCCUAAUCUACGGCCUAAUGCAUGGCGACCUUCAUCCAACGCUCUGGAGUGGUGGACUUCUAUCACCACAACACCGGACUCAUCACGUAAGGUCCUAAGAAGCCUCACUCUUCUAAUCAUGUGGGAAGUUUGGAAAGAACGGAAUGCACAUAUUUUGAACAGGCGCGAGACCUCACCAACGACACUAAUGGCGAAAAUUAAGGACGAAGCCUCAGCUUGGCUCUUGGCAGGGGCCAAAGACUUAGCAUUACUCCUAGCACGCGAGUAGUCCCUUAAGGCUCCUCUUUUUUCUUUUACCUUCUCAGUUUUUUUUGUUUUAUUUCCUGUACACUCCUACUCUAUCAAUGAAAUAGGCACUUUCUCUUACCCGUUCGUUCAAAAAAAAACAUCUCUGUUCACAGAGCACUCAGAGAAAGGCUUUGGGGGUGAUUUUUAUCUGUUUUUUUUAGUUUACACGCAGUAUGGAACUCGAGAAUAAAGUCCAAGCAGUGUUAUGUGUAAAUUUUGUAAAAUAAUAUUUGUUGAGAUUUGCUCCGGUGGUCCUUCCCAUGAGAUUUGCACGAAUUUUAAAGCAACGGACAAUUAAUUAAUUAAUUAAUUAUUUUUGUCCGCAGCGCGCCGAGCGUGGACCCCGAUCCGAUUUCGUCGUGUUGUCGGUAGCGGCGGCGACCGGCGGAAUCCCUGAUCCGAUUUCGACGGCGGCGGCUACGGCAACGGCGGCCACCUCUCCCUGAUCCCUCAUCGCCCUCUGUUUCGGCUGCGACCUGCGACAGCAUGUUGUCGAUUUCAAAGUGACAGAAGCAUGGGUGCGCAUGCUUCUUACUGCUUUGGUCUGACUAUGAAAUGCUACUGUUUGAAUGUCUUCUAAUGUCAUGUCUUCAAGAGUGUAAUAAUGCGUGCGUUCAUCGACAGAAGUGCUUGUUCAACUGAUUUCAUGAUACUGUCAAUUUGUGUGUUCAUCGACAGUGUAGUCUUUUAUAUUUACAGGAGAGAUAAUGCAACCCAGAAUCGAUUUUCGCACACUGACAGGACAUAUAAUGCAACCUGCUCAUCUGCUUGGAAUCUGUCAAUUUGGGUAUCGGCAAGGAACAACGUAUUCUUUCACUUUUACAGUAGAGAUCAUGGAACCAAGAAUCGAUUUCUCAUUAACGUAGAAUAAAUUCUAGACAGCUAUGUGUUGGUACAAAUGGCCAAUAAUCACAUACUGUUAGAUAUUGUGUCGAAUAUAUUGAUGCUGCUCGUUUGAUACAGGUGUAAGGAAGGAGUGGGAAAAAAAGAAUACAGCGCUGAGCAGAGCUGCCUACACUGACGCCUCCAGCGGCUCAACCCGUACUUGGGAUGAAGUGUAUCCAGUAUGCAACAAGAAGCCUCACAGUUGCAUUCUUUGAGAAGAUCGCCUGUCAAGAAUCAAUUAUUCCCUGGUCAGAUCACUGCCUUGUUGCUCAUUAGAGAUAAGUUGGAGAAAAACUUUUUAAAAUAGCUGGGUGUACCCUAGUUUCAAUAUGACGUGGCAGUGGUUUUCGCUGAGGUGGCUGCCACUGUGUAUCGGACCCGCAUCUCACAGGGGGGGGGGGGGCAGCGAGCGAGUUUGAGUGGACAUGGAGCUCGGCAAUGGCGGUGGUAAAGAAGAAAUUGAGAAGCACAGGCGGAGCGGGAGAUGCUCAGCAUGAGAAGGCUCACCGUCGCGGGAGCUCCUCGCCACCCACCGAUGCUCCACAUCUCCUGCUGCCCGCUGGGGCUCUAGGCUGUUGUGCCACCUUCGGGCUUGCUCGCCAAAUGGGUCGCCGCGCUCGCCGCGCAGAGCUGUACUCGUUGGUAGGGUUGUUCGUGCCCUCUCGCUGGCUGGGCUGCCCCGCUUGAGUGCGCGCUGUGAAGCCGCCUGCCGCGGCACUAGGGCUGGCCCUAGAAACUCCACUCCCUCGCUAGAACCGCGUCGGCAGACUCCCGCCUGCCGCCGUAUCGUCAGCUAGGGAAGCGCAGGUCGGGCAGGGUGCAGGGCAACCUCAUGUUAGCUUAUGGUCGCAUAAACACGGGGCGCUUGGGUUUAGCCGUAGACAAGAACUGUGUGGCCAUUUAGCCAAUCAUAUUGGAAGCAACAAAUAGAUGGCAUAGAGAGUUCCAUAUUGCUCCUUAUUUGAGUCAACAAUAUUCCUCAGGUGGCAAUAGCCUGGGGCAAUCUUCCAUCAAGGCUAACUAUCAAUGAUCAGGCCUUCCAUUGGCUUAAGGAGAGAGCACUCUGCCAAGACAUGGUGUCGGUUUUUUAUACCCGGCAACCUACCAAGGGGUAUCCCGAGGUAUUAGAUUGGUUGGUGGGGAAUCGUCAGACCUAGAACUCAAAGGUAAAAGCGAGGACACAAGAGACGGAUUUAUACAGGUUCGGGCCGCCAGAGUAGCGUAAUACCCUACGUCCUGUUUGGGGUGUUGUAUAUUGCGGCCCGCGCUUGGUUGUUGUUUGGUGUUGAGGAUUUGGUCCUCUGUUGUGGUUCUCUAUAUGCCAAUUGGUGCAAAUGGCAUGUCGUAUCUGUUGGUGCAAUAUGUUGUGUCAAAGAAAAUGCAAUCUCCAAAACUCUUGUACAUCUCUCUAGUCCUCCCAUCUACCCAAAACAAUCCUCUAACAACAUUAUUAUCAUCAAUCAUCAUUGCAUAAUAGAAGGAAGGACUUUCAGCUUGUUACUUUUGAAAAUACUGCAUCCAUAUCCCUGUAGGUGAGACCUCCUCUCAAGUGUGUCCUCAUGUUUGAAACAUCCUUGCUGCUGAGAGUAAGGUUGCCAAGCCCCCCAUGGAAAUCAGCAAGCACCCCCAUAUCUUUGUUGUGCUAAUAUUUCUAUGGUGUAGAGUUUUUAGCAGCUCAUAAUCAGCCCACGAGAUGCUUCGGUGGGACCUCAAGUGUUUCCUAACCCCAAUCGCCUUCACCAUGGGAUGAGUAUGGUCAGAUUGCAUUACAAUCACUCUCCACCUCCCAUUUCUCAAGCCAACCGCCAUAUGAGCUUGCAGUCCAACUUUUUGAUAGUGUUGCGCUUCCUUGUUGCUGUGGUAAGCACAGCUGUUGCCGCUCUUUUUUUUAUCCCACUAGUGUUGCAGUGUCAUUUGUUGAUGUGCUCGCUGAUGUAUUUUCCUCUCCAUCAUCUUCUCCAUCAAGAGCUGGCUUCCUAGCAUGAGAACACUCCCACUCCUUUCUGCUCAGCUCCUUUGUGACGUUGCUAUUUCUUGAAGAAGCCACUCUUAUGCUGAAACCCAACUUCAUGGCAUACUCAUUGUAAACCCUCCUUGCUUCCUGUAUCGUGUCAAAUUCCAUCCCAAGUUUCGGCACAAUAGGCUGUGAGCAUACGACGUCUUCAUCCUCAUGGUAGACCUCUUUAUUUGCACCAACUUGUACUGAAACAUAUUCACUUGAUAGUGUUGAUAUGCUCACAACAGGAACCAAUGCUCCAUCCCCCUACAAAUCAAUGUUGCACUUAGUGUUACUAGCAAAAUCAAUGUUGAGAUAUUGCAAAAACUAUACAUGGAAGUAAGAUGUAACAUUCAGUUAGCACAUACAUUUUUUGAUGUUUCAAUAACUGAUUUUCAAUGUGGCACAUGCUAUCAUUAGAUCUUGCAACACUUAUAUGUAACAUUCAGUUAACCCAUGAGCAUUUUGAGAUGUUACAAUAACUGUUUUUCAAUGUGCCACAUGCUAUCAUUAGAUGUUGCAAAACUGUAUAAGAUUUUGUCACAUCUAGUGUUUCAAACGAAUGAGGCUGCGGCUCUGAAAAUCAUACCUGCCGUUUUUGGAGACUCGAUUCGGAUGCCAAUCCCCCAUGGACGCUGCUCGAAAGACAUGGGGGCGGGUGCUGAAGUGAAUUAUCACGCUUGUUUGAAGAAUUCAAUGCAACAUUUAGGGGGUUGGAUGGUCGGCAUACCUGGUAGCGUAUUGCGGUCAAUCAUCUGUAGAUCUGAGGGGUUCCGAGCAACAAUUGGGGGCGGGUAGCUGCCAUGUGGUUGAUCUGGAGAGGGGAGUUCUAUUUUUUGAAGGAUAUGCGCCAUCUUCACUCGGCGCCGACGGAUCUGGGCGGCGGCGACCGGCGGAUCUGGGCGGCGCCGCGAAGCUGGGAGCUCGCUCCUAUCCCGACCCGCGUGAAGAAGUUGAUGCCAGGGUGCGCUCCUUGUGUCCUUGUGUUUGGUGCGGACUUGACUGGUUGCCCUCCUUAGGUUUCAUCUGAUGGCUGACACGUCUUUAAUCCGAUGAUGGAGAGUGUGUCCGAUUUUUGUGCCCGGAACGGACGUCCGGGCGCUAGUAGCGCAGAUUAAUAAAACUUCUGUUAUCCAAAAAACCAUUAUGCAUGGUACAAAAGAAUAGGACCAAUCACAUCGAGUUAUUCCUCCUUAGUUGGAGUGUAGUUAAUAGGUGGGCGUUGAGCUGUAUCUGAGCUGAGAUUUUGUGUUGCUUAGAUUAUUCUGAGUCACUUAUUUUCUUUUUCCUUACUUUUUUUGUAGGGUCCAUAUAUGGGCCUUUCACAAAUGCCAGAACUCUAUUAUAUAAUAAAGCUUCCACUAUUUAAAAAAUACAUGUCAUAUAUAUUACUCCUUUUUAUCACAAAAAAAAUACAUGUCAUAUAUAUUACCGCAUAAUAGCUGAAACAUUCUAUCCAAGCAACAGGUUACCAUAUUCUCAACGUUUCUCAUGAGUUUGGUGUAAUAACUAUUAAAGCGCAAUGUAGAUGAACAAGUACUAUUGUCCUUCUGAUCUGCAAAAUGGUGUAUCGGUGUCCUUACAAGUUAGUAAACAUGUUGAUAAAUAUUUUUAUCCACCCUGUGUCACCAUUUCUUAAUUAGUGUUAAGUUAGAGUGACAUAUAUUGCUCUAUGUAUGAGGGAUUCAAGAAAUUCCUGAGGAAACAGAGGGUCCGGUUUUGGGUAGUCCAAAUCAAAAACUAUAAUUUGCCACGCUUUUGGCAAGAGAUUCAACUUCCAUCAGGGUAUGUACCUGUUGACGCCAGAUUUUGACACGUAUUUUGAAUCGGCGUUAGGGAAGGAAAAGAUUGGCCGGUGCGGCGGAUUAAAAGCUACAGUUGGGAAUCGGCCGAUUGGUGCUACAGUGUAUCGGCCGAUUGGCGAACGGAGUUGAUGAAAGAUGGCCGAUUGGAAGGUUGGGACAGCUAGGCCAAUAUAGGCUUAAGGUGGGCCAGAGAAGAAGAUAGAGAGAGAUUGGCCCAUGGAGGUAUGAUAACCAACUCCGAUACGAGUUGUGUUUGUAAAUAUUUGUUUUCGUUUAAAAUUAGAGAUAGAUCCUAGUCGGUUAGGAAAUCAGUUGUAACAUGCUAUAAAUAGCCAUCUCUAGAGAUUUGUAAAGACAACACAUCAAUCAAUACAAACAAACUACUUUUUCAUCGUACUUUAUUUUCAUGUCGGCGACUUCGCCAAUACAUCUUUUCCUUUCACGAGUUCAUACGGAUUGGCAGGACUGCAUCGACUCGACCUCCGGCCGAUUUGUAAGUUCCGUUUAUCAAGUAAUAUCUAAGCUUUAACUUCGGGCGCAUCGCUGUCGUUUCGUUUAGAUUUAUUCACCAGUUAUCGAUAUUUACUAGAAUUAUAGGUUUUAUCUAUUAUUUUAGUUUUUAUCACCAGUUAUCCAGCUUAAGAUUUGAACUGUCGGCUUCAUUACUGUUGUUCUUAUUUAUCGCUACGUAGCCGCUUAGAUCUAUUUCAAGUGAUUGCAUUUGUGGCGUUGUUUAGCCUACUCUAGUAGUUUCUUUACAAUCGCUACGUGAUUAUCGGAUGUUCUGUAGCCGGUCAUCUCUACAGCAAAUCAGCCAAUUCGCUGAUAUGCUUUUCGAGACAGAUCGGAACUUUAGCCGAUCAAAACCCCUAGAAUUUAAUACAUUUCUUUCCUUGUCAAUCAACAGGUCAGAUUGACUGGCACGCCACGCGAACCGCACUUGGGCGAUUACCCGAACAGGAGUUAAGCAGAUUCUCCCGGGUCGUGUGUGCGACGCUGAAGAUCAUCGGCCGAUUUUUAGCGCCAACAGUACCCAAUAUACAAUGGCUUAGAAUUAGUGCUAUUAACUUUUCGAAAAGUAAGUAUGACAGGUUCCACUAUCAGAAACCUAACCAAUUAAGCUACCCAAUAUACAACAGCUUAGGAUUAGCGCUGUUUAGAUCCAUGAGAAUACGAGUAGGUGGACAGGUUCCACCAUCAGGAACCUAACCAAUUAAGCUACACUCAGUGUGCACCCAAACUCGAGUGGGUUACAAUUAAUAGUGCGUUAGAGCUGAAGAAUGUUGUGUUGCUUCAUUUGUAUAGAGUAGGAAGUGAAAUAACUGGACAGGCAUGCACCUGGUUAUAGAUAAAGAAAAUUUAUUGAAUUUUCAUCACACAGAUCGAUGGGAACAUUACAACGUCGUCAAUUAGGAUUUGGGCAGCAGCACAUGUCAUAGCCUGCUUCUUGCCUGCAGUAGGCGGGGCUGUUGCUAAUUCCAUGUACCUCGCAUACAUGCACGCAGAUCGGGUCCGUACAAUAGUCUGGAUUAGUGGGCAAGAAGCACGGUUCUUUCCAGUUAUCUUUCCAGCUUUUUCCCAAGUUAAAUAUUUCAAAAUUCAAUCAUUAAUUUCUAAAGAUUCAUAUAGUUUAACAAUAUAGGAUUAUUUUUUCUCGAUUCAUCAUGACAAAAAGAUGUUGACAGAAGUACUGUAGCAAAGGACCGGACCUGAACUGAGCUGUUGGUGGAAGCUGAAAUGUGGAGGCCAUUGAUCUACUAUCUUAGAAAGUUGGCACGUUGUGUUCACGUAAUCCUCUUGAGUUCACCAUGCCACUGCAACUCUACUCUAAGAGAGAUGAGAUAAUUCAUUGAUAUUAGAAAUUGCAGUAUGAAUAGACUUCAAUUUUUUUUCUUAUGCGGCCGGUUUGACUGCAAAAGACAGUUAGAAUGCUACGCAUCGCUGCAUUGUAAUUUGAUGUUAGGUCUUGCAUAAUCCAAUAGGUCCUCCCUUAUGUGUGGGAAGCAAAAUUCAGAUGUGUGCUGCCUGUGAAAAACGUCCAAAAGCAUGACUAGAUCACAUGUUCAACCACGAAAUAAAUAAAAAUGAAUGGGUUUGCAUGGGCUGGGGGUGAAAACUCUAUGGCAAUUUGUAUGGAAUUAUCAAAACCGUUUCAUAUAUCAAUUUGUAUGGACCAAAUAGGGCGAAGACCGAUACUGAGAAACAACUUGAAUUAAUGUAGUCUAGAUCAUUUUGCCCCAGUCCAACACGGUACUGAAAAUUGCUAGUCAGUGGCUCUUUGGGGAAAAAACAAUUUACGGAAAAAGUUAUUAAAUUUCACAGAUCACAAUAGAUGCAUGGCUUCCUGAGAGUGCGUUCCUGGCGAUGUGGUACAUAUGAAGUUGCAUCAUGCUAAUCAUGCUUAUAGUUAGUUUGCAGCUACUCCAUGCGCAAACCAUGAUGUUCAUGGACAAGAUGACUGGCAGUAUAUAAAAAGAACUAUUAACUUCAGAAAACAGAGCUGGCACAUCUAUGAGAUUUUAUUAGGUGGAGUAUGGAACUGGAGGAUGUGGUUGAAGCAAGAGUUGCAAGAUAUCUGCUAGUUUCCAAUGACACAGAGAUUAAGAGAGAUUGGUGAGCUGUUAGUGGAAACUGAAAAACCCAAAUAUGGUGAGCUGUUCAUCGUCGGCGUCAUCAUCUUUAGCACAGCCUUGGGAGGGGCCUCCAAUGAAUCCGGUGCCCUCCAAUACUGUGGUGGGCGCCAUGGUUGGGGCUAAUACCACCGACACCCCCUACUACCACGGCCGUCGCAACCUGAGCCGCGGUGCAGCUGCAGUGCACUUUGUCGGGUUGAGCCGUGUCUCGAGUUCCUCCGGGCACCGGUGGGAGGGGCCGGACCAGCGGCGCCCUGUCUGCCGCCGUCCCCGCUAGCGCACGUCCACGUGGCACCGCGGUCACAUGGAUGGCGCCUUGUAGGAUGUUGCUGAUGGACAGCGCGGUGCAGACCCCGGCGAUGCAUGGCAAUUGCUGCAGCAAGCUGGCGGCUGUCCUGGACAGAGCAAUGGCGGAAGGUGGCGACUAGAUGCUAUCGUCACUGUACAUGCAAUGACGUGAACAAGAUCCGGCCCAACUUCGAGAUACGAGUUAAGUUCCGGUAACGUGGCAGGAGCCCUGUCAUAUCAUUUAAGGAGAAGAGAGAUUGUUCAAAUAUUACAUGAUUGAUGUUACAUAAUAAACUCAUUACUUAAAUCACAUUGUUUUAACAUAAUUAAACUAAGGCACACUCAGUGCUCCACAUGCUUGUUGGCGCAAGCUUAUUUCUUCCUUGAUGAGGCCAAAUAAUCGUCGUUGUGGCACCGCUUCAACUCCAGCAAAAAUACGCCUGUUUCUAUCAUUCCAUAGAUUCUAGACUAUGUAGAUUAGGACAGCCGCAAUCGCUCGCCUUUGCGUCUUGUUCAUCGCCUUCAGGGAAUGUCUCCACCAAUCUUCAAGACCGACACCAAUCACUGGCAAGGGAACCAGGUUGUUGGACCAACUGUGAACCAACGUCCACACCUGCAUUGCGUAUGGACAGUGUAGGCAUAGGUGUUCUACAGUUUCAGGUGCAGCUUGGCAAAGAGAGCACAUCGGAUUGCAUAGCCAGUUCCUUGCAGGUAGUCUGUCAGCCGUCAAUAUCUUGCUUUGGACUAGUAUCCAUGCAAAAAAUCUGUGCUUCCCUUCCACCUGUCCCUCAAGAUUGCUUGUGCUUCAAAUGGACUGAAAGAUCCUUGGAAUUGAAUUGCUUAUGCUGACUUAGCACUAUAUUCUCCAUCCGAUGUCCAUCUCCAAGCUAUUUCCUCAGGUCUAUCCAUGAAUUGAAUGUCCUGAACUAGGUCCCAAAUGUGCACAAAUUCAGUCAUUUCUAUCACCAUGUUCAUUCGCCAUAAGCCUCUCGUCCAGCUAUGGUUGAUCAACUCCUGAUAUACAGUUUUAUGUUUUCGCCAGGCCAGCUUGUAUAGGUUAGGAGUCAAAUCUCUUAGUGCUUUGCCCUGCAGCCAUGUGGAGUUCUAGAAUUCAGCCUUGAGGCCAUUACCGAGAGUGACAACGGUGCUAAUUCGGAAUAACUGUUGGUCUAACUCAUUGACCGGUGAUUCAGUGCCAACCCAUGAACGGUCAGGGUGUUUUCUAUUUAUACCAUAACCAGCGUAACCGUAAAGCCCAGCUCAACAGGUUCAAAUCAAGAGUGCCCAGUCCUCCGAACUUCUUAGGUCUUAUUACUCUAACCCAUCUGAUCAGACAGUGUCCCCCAUUAGCCUCAACCGCCCCUUCCAGAGGAAGCUCCUCCUUAUUUUGUCCAAUUGCUUUAUAGCCCAUCUUUUCAAUGCAAAGACAGUUAAGAAAUAAACCAGCAUUGCCGACAACACUGAGUUCACAAGCCCCAACAUUCCUGACUUGUUCAGCACACGGCCUUUCCAUGAGGGUAGCCUAGCUGCAACUUUGUCAAUGAGAGGUUGAACGUCCACCCUUCGGAGUGCUCUUGUAUGUAGUGGCAGCCCCAGGUAUGUGCAUGGGAAUGAUUUUGCUGGACAUUGAAAACUUUCCAUUAUAUCCUCCAAAUUGAGGCCAUCACAUUGAAUUGGAUAUACCAUACUUUUAUUCUUGUUGGUAAUCAGCCCAGAUGCUAGUCCAAAUUCCUCUAAGAUAUCACUUGCCACCUUUACUUCUUCACUGUUUGGAUUCAGAAAAAUAGCCACAUCAUCUGCAUACAUACUCAUUCUUGCUUUGGCUGCCCUGUCUUGAAUUGUUGAUAAGUGUCCUUCAUUGCUAGCAAUGGUGAGCAUUCUCUGUAGUGGUUCCAUAGCUAAGAUAAAAACAAGUGAGCUCAAAGGAUCACCCAGUCGCAAUCCUGUUCUAUGCCUGAACCAUGGCCCCCUUGACCCAUUCAGUAAGACAGAUGUGCUUGCAGUUGACAGCAGUAUAGAUACCCAGCUCCUCCAUUUCUCCCCAAAUCCCAUCUGCUCUAGUACUUCUAUUAGGAAAUCCCAUCUGACACUAUCAAAUGCCUCCGCUAUAUCUAGCUUCAGGAACAUUGUUGCUCUAUUUGCUAAGUGAAAGGCCUUGACCAGGUUUUGAGUGAACAGAAAAUUAUCUUGGAUACUUCUUUGCUUGAUAAAAGCACUUUGUGUUCUCGAUACUAGUUCGUGUAGGUGUGGGGACAAUCUGUUUGCCAACAACUUGGAAAUUAACUGGGCUACACUAUGUGUUAAACUGAUUGGUCGAUAGCUUCCCAAACUCUUUGCCUCUGCCCGUUUUGGAAUCAGUACCAUGUGAGCUUUGUUUAAUUGGUUGAAAUGCUAUCCAUGUUGCUGAUAGAAGAAGUUAAUUGCUGCCAUGAUAUCAUGCUUGAUGAUGUGCCAUGCUGUUUUGAAGAAAACCCCUAUAUAACCAUCUGGCCCUGGUGCCUUGUCACCAGCCAUAUCAGUAAUGACAGCAUAUACCCCCUCCUCACUGAAUUCUUGUUCCAGGUUCUCUAGCUGCAAUCUUGGCAGAUCAAUUCGACUCCAGUCUAGAGUGUGUGUUCUCUGUGCUAGUUGGCCAAACUGCUUGCUAUAAUGCUCAAAACUGUGCCCUUCUUUUUCCUCAUGUGAAUGUAUGAUUCUCCCUUCAGUUUUCAGGUACUGGAUAAAAUUCUUUCUCCUUCUACCGUUGAUUUGCAUAUGGAACAGCUUUGAUAGUGCAUCUGCUGCUUUUAUGUAGGUCAUCCUUGAUUGUUGCCUGGCUCUUAUUUUCUCUAUGGCCGUCAUCCCUAAAAUUCUUGCUUUUAGGUCUCUUUUUAAUUGCACCUCAAUAUCACUUAACUGUCUGAAGUCUUGGACGAUAACAAGAAUCCCUACAAGCUGUUUUGCAGCACACAGAAGCAGCUCGUUUCUCCCAAUUUUUGACCUGGGCCACUUCUUGAGAUUUUUCCCUGCUCUUUCAAUUUUUGUGUGAAGCCUAAGAUAAGGGUUCUGAAUCUGUAGUUGUCGAUCCCAUGCUUCUUUCACAGUGUCCAAGUAUCCCAGUAUCCUUGGCCAGGAACUCUCAAAUCUGAGGCCCCUAUAUUUUCUCCCUGUAGCAUUUCCGACAAGAAGUAAAGGACAGUGAUCAGAGACUGAAGAUGCUCUUGCUUGUAGACCGCAAUUAGGCAGCAUUGGAUCCCAUUCUAUUGUACAGAAAGCUCUAUCAAUCCUUGUGUGUGUGACAUCAUUCGACCAAGUGAACUUCCUGCCUCUCAAAUUUAACUCCUUUAGCUCCAGAUCAUCUACUAAGCUUCUGAAAGCUCCCAUUAACCUUCUGUUCAGAUUAGCGUUGCUCUUAUCCUGUGCCGACAAGAUCAUAUUGAAAUCUCCUAUAACCAACCAUUUAUCAGAGAGAGUUAGUCUAAUCUGGUCCAGCUCUUGCAGGAAACACAAUUUUUCAUUAUCUCCUUGUGGACCAUAAACCACUAUAAACCACCAUUCAGCUAUAGUUGUUGUAGCUUCAAUCUCAGCAGAUACUAUGAAUUCCCCAACUGUUGACUGGGUGAUUUUAUAGUAAUCUUCAUCACACCUGCUAGCAAUGCUCCUCCACGAGUUUGCUGGGCUGGUAGGAACACGAAAUUCUUGGUGAACUGCUGUCCCAAAGUCUCACUGACAAUUUGCACAUCAAUUUCCUCCAUCUUAGUUUCUUGAAGACUAGCAAUGGUGCACCUUGUUUUAGUAGCCAAAUCUCUAACCACCCCCCCUCCUUGCCGGAUUGGAGUCCUCUUACAUUCCAGUUCAACACUAAAUAUUUCUGAUUGUUCAUAUGGAAACAGUUGAAACACAGUCGUGCUCUGACCCACAACAGGAGCCUGCUUGGGUACCCUUCCAACAUGUAAACCCAACCCGCGGACACACCCCAGGGAUUGGGCUAUGCUAGUUCCACUCAUCAUGAACACACGCAAGAAACACACCCAACGACACAUACAUGGAACACACACCCCCAACGGACACGCACAUGGACGCGCACACACCCCCACUGGACACAUACAUGGAUGCACCCCCCCCCCCCCCCCCACACACACACACCCGCGGCCUAGGCGCCGCUAAAACAUUAUGCUUCAGCAUCGAUAGCAAUGUGCCAAGUACAUCCACGCCGCUCCUUUCUCCCAGCCCGAAGGUUUCUCUAAACCCUUGCAAUGGUGCUACAAAUCUGCGCUCUGAAAUUAGCAUGCACUUUUGGAUCGGGGGUCUUGUUUUCUUCCAGGAACCCACUUUUCCUCAUACACGAAUACCACUUAUAUAAUCUUUGGUUGGUACUCCCUGCGUCCUAAAAUGACUGUUUGGUUAGCCUCCAAAACUUGUCCCACAAAGAGUGUUUAUGUAGCUUUCAAACCAUCCAACAAAAGCCCGCAUAACACCUUCUGGUCCAGUUAACGAAUCGAUCAUUUACUCCCACCAUCGACGCCCGAGCCAGUCUCGCUUGCCCAUUCGGCCAUUCCAUCGCUGCUUCAUUCGGUCGCCCCUCCCCAUCCCUUCCUUAUCCACUUGACCUAUCGCUCAACGCCGGAAAAAAAAACGACACCCGCACCCGUGCUGCUUCCCCAUCGCUCCAUGCUCGCCAUGGUAGCUGCAUCUUCUGGCGAAGGGGGUGGAUCCAGCGAUCCGUGGCCACCGACUCUGGAUCGGGCGUGGGAGAGGUUGGAGUUGCAGACUCGGUGGAGGUGGGAUGCGUAGUGGCCGAUCGACCAUUGGGACCUUUCCUUCCCAUGGACUCCUCUCUGAUUAGAGUCUCGUGGGUGCCGGAUGCGGAACAGCGGUCUGAUUGACAGCCAGGAGCGUUGUUGCGGGACUUGGUGGGAUCCACGCACAACAAUUUGUUAUGAACGACGUAUAGAAAUAUGAAGUAAAGAAUCAAGCCACAGAGGAGACACACGAUUUAACGUGGAAAACCCCUCCGAUGUGAAGGGGAAAAACCACGGGCACCAGCCAGCAACAAUCUCACUAUCUCAAGAGUUUUGGGUUACACGCCUAUGGCGGCUUACAAGAGAAUCAAGUCUCCACGAAACCCUAGCAAGGGUGUAUAUACCUUACCGUACCAAGCCCAAGCCUCCGGCAACGGGCCUCCGCUCCGUCAGAAGCCCGGCCUAUAUCCUGGAGUGAAUUUGGAACAACUCCAACACAAUUGCCUUUAGCCAAAGCUGCUGGGUGUCUCUUGGGAUUACUUGGGACUUGUCCUUUCCUCCACUUGACAUGAUCAUUCGAGCUCGGUCUGACUUUGAGGGAUCCAUCUUCAGAGAGGUUGUGUUGGUUGCUAGUUGGUGUAUCUGGUGCCACUGUAAUGAUAUUAUUUUUGAUCAUGGAAGUCUUUCUCUAGCAAGAUGUAAGACCUGCUUUGUUGGUGAAAUGGCUCCGGUUUUGCUUAGAGACAAACCGAGGGUGAAGCUCAUGUUAGAUAAUUUUAUGAGUAGUCUCUCUUUUUGAUGUUGUUCUUUCCUUUUUGAGCUUUGAAGCUCUGUAUCUCCUCCCCCCUUACAUAUUCCGCCUUUAUAUAUUAAUGAAAAGAAUUGGUAGGGAUUCCCCUACCGAUCCGUUCGAAAAAAUUUGCCUAGCAGAGGAAGGGAUAGAUUUUUCUCAAGACACACAGGAAGGGAGCGCCGAUGAGUUUGAUUUCAUCCCUGAUUCAGAAGAGCAGAUUUGUCGAUGAUGUGAUCUACUCGGUUUUGUCCCUGAUUCGGUGGCGCAGGAACUUGAGGUCGUGGAGGAAGAUGGGAGCAGGGGCGUGUUGAUGAACGGUGAGGUAGAGGUGCUGGUUGUUGGGGCCAAGGGUGAGAGUGGUGGCCGGGAGACCGACGACUGAUGACUGGUUGGGUUGAGACGCAGUCUGGGGAUAUCGGCGUGGAGGGUGCCAUUGCCAGAGUCUCCCUGGUAUGUGUACCUGUUGUUUGUUCAUCUCCCUUGUUGAUAUCCCUUGCUUGUUCAUCUCCCUGGUUGACAGGAUUGUUUUGGUCUUCUCCCUGUGCAUCAUCGGAGUGUUCAUCUUCUAGCAAAGGCGCUUCAUUGAGAUCAGGUAACUCUUGUCCAUCUCCCUCGUCUGGUUCUUGGUCGAGAUCUAAUUAAUAUGGCCAUGUAUUAUUUGCUAGUGUUUGGUGAAGAUCAUGAGAGGACAGGAUUAAGUGACAGGCUAGCCAGCUCCGGUAGACUAAGUUGUCUCUAUAUUUUUUUUUGGCUCCGUCCAUGUUAAAUAGCCUGUCAUGUUGCCUCUGUAAUCUUGGCGGCAUGUACUGAAAAUUUAUUCUGUGGUUUUGGCGCCAGCUAAAUGUGUUUUGGCUGCCUUCAGUGUAAAAGAAAUUUUGGCGCCAGCUCAAUGUGCCAUGUAAAGACAAUUUUUGAGUAGCACUUCGGCUACUUGGCGCCAAAUAAGGGGAAGGCAAACAGGCCUGACAUUUGCUGCAUCAUGUGCAUGCUCAUUUAAUUACCGUCGGUAAUUCAUCCGGCAGCUCGGCUGCCAAAGCAGAGUACAUAGAAUUAUUGGUGGCACUUUGGAGAUUUUGCAACUUCACUAUCUUCUCGGAAAAUUUCUAAACGAAUACUCUUUGGGACGCAGGGAGUACGGGAGAAAAAGACCAUUGUAUACGUCCAAGCAAGGCAUAGCUCCUUUUGUAAAAUCACAAGUGAUGCAUCUGAUGAUCCAGAUUACGAUACAGCACGAGCAGCAAUGUUCCUCUAUGCACGCCUAUAGUGUCAUAAAGGGGCACAAAUAAAGUUUAUUCAUACUCCGAGAUAGACAUGGCAGUUACAACAAAUAAUUCAACACACACGCACCUUGCCGUAGUGGCAUUUAUUUUAUAAUAUAUAUUUUAGCGCAUGCAGCUCGAGGCAGCGGUCAGCAGCAACGACAACGGCUGCUGCUACUUGGUGUACUCGAUGGCCCAGAAGUUGGCGUAGAUAUAGGUGAACUUGACGCUGGUAAACCCGGCGCCCUUGGUGAGCUUCACAAACUCCCCCUCGUACCUCUCCUUCCCGUCGGGGCUAUACGCAAGCAGGCACACGUCGAUGCUGAUGAGCCCCUGCGCACCGUCCGUCGCCUCCGGCUUCACCGGCAGGACGCACUCGACGUCGAUGACCUUGCCGCCCGCCGGCAGCGCGUCGUAGCAGUUCCUGAGCAGCGUGGCGCAGUGCUCAUCGCCCUAGCAGUUGAGGAUCCACUUCAUGAGGAUAGCGUCGCCGGAGGGCAUCUUCUGGAACAUGUCGCUGCCGACGUGCUGCACGCCGGCUUAGGCCGGCACCUCGGCGAUGACGUGGGGAGGUUGAAGUUGAUCCUUUUAGAAGUUGCGUGGUGUGAAUUAUUUUAAUCGUCCACUCAUUUUGAGUAUGUAUCUUGAUAAUACAUGCAUUAAGGUACUUGAGAACUCACCUUCCAUCCACCCUAUUUGUCCCGGUUUAAAUUUAGCCGAACUCACCUUCCAUCCACCCUAUUUGUCCCGGUUUAAAUUUAGCCCGUGACUAAAGGUUCACUAACCAGGACUAAAACUCGGCCACUGGCGGGAGCUCACCAACCAGGACUAAAGGGCCCCUUUAGUCCCGAUUGUAAAGACCAGUGGUCUGGAGGGGGCUUUUGUCCUCCCGAUUGGAAACACCAACCGAGACUAAAGGCCUCCCCUUUGUCCCGGUUGGAAUUCCCAACCGGGACAAAAAGUCCCUUCCCACCGCUACGGCCCCCUCCCUCUUCCUUAUCUUUCUCUCCUCCUCUCUCCCAUUCUUCCAGGCACUUCUCUCCUUAUCCUCUUCUUUUUCUCUCCUCCUCCGCUCCUUAUCCUCUUCCUCUCUCUCCUCCUCUCCUUAUCCUCUUCCUCUCUCUCCUCCUCUCCGAGGCGCUUCCAGGCAAGCCGCCCCUCCCCUUCCCCCUCUGCUCGCCCCUCACUGGCAGUGAGGAGCGGCAGCGAGGCGAGGGCGGGCGGCGGCGCGUGGGUGGACGGGCCGGCGGUGGAGGCGGAGGCCGGCACGGGCGAGCGGAGGCCGGCGGUAGAGGUAGAGCGCGGAGCCGGAAGCUAGCGACGGAGGCGGAGUGCGAGCGGAUUGAGGCGGAGCGAGGAGGCCGGCAGCGGAGGCGGAGCACGGGCGGAUCGAGGCGGAGCGAGGAGGCCGGUAGCGGAGGGCUGGCCAGCGGCGGAGCGCGGACGUGGGGCUUUUUUAUUAUUUUUUUCAAAAAAUUUUACCAACCGGGACUAAAGCUAAGGGGGCCUUUAGUCCUGGGUGGAUGACCCGGGAUCCGGGACUAAAGACCUUCCCUUUCGUCUCAAAAAUUAUAUGUCGGAUGGUUUUUAGAGAGAUUUGGCCUCUAUCAACCGGAACUAAAGCCGAGGUUUCCAGUAAUCUUAUAUGGAUGAAAUCCUGACACUAUAUUCAUUAAGCUUACCUGAUACUUAUAUCCUGCUAUCCUGAAGGCCAUGAGAUUAUAUUUUUGCUAUGUUUAUCUCCUGAUAACAUGUUGCUUGUAUGGACCAGUACAAACAGGCCCUACAGUUUCUCUAUUGCCUCCCAGCGUUUAAAAAUUCUCCAUGCGAAGCAACCACCAGGCAUCAGCCAACAGAAAAUCACCAUGUGGGAAGCAAGCGCCAGCUUCCAAACAGCGGAAGGGCAUUCUCCAUGCAGGGUAUUUCCCCAGCGGGAGGAAGGUGAUUCUGUUGUGCAGGGAAAUUUCCCGUUAGGAGCUUUCUUCCCGGAGCUAAUUUGCCUCUAAUGCCCAAACUAGCCCUGAGGAGAAAGAAAUAGUUGGUGGUAGGCGUAGGUGGGUAUCAUAUAUUUUUUUUCAUUAGUAGAAAAGAUUAUCGACACUUGGUUCCCAUAGGUAUUAUGAGAAAAGAGGGACACGUCUGGUUGUGGGCCCCUCUUCGCUGAAGGCAAACGUCGGUUGCCGUAGAGGCCAUGGGCUAGCUGCUUCUGUUGUGUAGCAAUGCAAGCCGGCCCAUGUCCGUAUAUAGCUUCGGAAAUCAGAACCGUGCUGCAAUUGUGUAUUAUUUUGCAGCAUCAGCGGCAUGAUUUUGCAGCAUCAGCGGCAUGAUGCAUUGCUGGUUUCAGAAAUGUUCCAGAAAUUCUGCUUAUAGGAAGUUAUCACUUAUAAAUGAGCGUAGGAACUUAUGUGUCCAUCCUGAAAUGUUGCGGAAACUUUGCAAACAAAAACAGAAACAAAUUUGAUACAGUUACACUAGUCCACAGAGACACAUAAGAUGGUGGAGCAAACUGAGGGGUACAGAUCAUUUGAUCACCAUCAACAGCUUGGGCUCCUCAAGAGGACAAUCCGGUGGUGACUUGUCCACAAUGACGGUAAGAGAUAUAUUGGAAGAUAAGAGAUUAUUUUCCGGCGAACAUGAACUUUUUUUUAACGUUGGGUAUACUUUGGUCACUCCCAUAUUAAUUCAGCCAUUGGAUCAGGCUGUUCCUGCUUUGAGGAGUCUGGAUGCCGAGGGUACGCGGAAGCGGCUUGAGGUCCUUGGCUGCUCGAGCACACGACAGCUCAAGCUUGACAGGGCGAUCAGAUCCACCAGACUGGGUGGCGGCCAGAGGCCACCACAACUCUGCGCUAAGAGAGAUGAAAUAAUUGAUUGCUCCCAGAAAUGGCAGCAAGAAUAUACUUCAAUUUUUUCCUUGCGCAAUCAACUUGACAUGGAAGGACAGUUAGAAUGCUAUGCAUUGCUGCAUUAUAAUAUAAUUUGAGGUCACAUAAUAUACUAGUUCCUCACUUAUGUGUGCGAAGUAACAUCGAAAUUUCUGCUAGCUGUGAGGAACACACUGAAUUCAUGGUACAAAUGCUUGACAUUGAACAAUUGCAGAAUAUUUGGCCAAAAACAGCAUCAGUUUGUUUUCGAGGAUGCACACGCUAGUGAAUCUUUAAAACUUGAUCAAAAUUGUCAUUUUUGAGAGAAAUAGAUGAACCCAUAUGCAUUUCAGGUCAUGCGGUACAAGAAUUAGAAUAGCAUGCUAGUCCUGUUUUGGUUUGCAGCAUGGGCAUGCCAAACCCAUGUUGUACAGGAAGGCACGCAAUAUACACACACACAUAUGAUUCUUGUCAGUUACCAAAAUGAAACAUUUAUAGUACAGAUAACAGAGCAUUGUGUGGGUCUUUAGUUCUACAGGGAGUAUGGAACAGUAGGAAAACGUCAAAUCAGAGUUAUGUCUAGUUGCGUAAAGCAAUAUGGAGUUUAUGGCCAACAGUAGAUUUCUAGUAGUAACAGAGAAAAACAGAGAUGUUGAGAUAUUGGAGAGAGCUGAAAUGGCCAAGAAUAGUUUGGUCAAUAUAGAGAGUAGAGCCGUCAAACAGAGAAGGUUGAUCAUCGCAGUCUGACCGAAUACACAAGGGAGGGAACGAAGGACCUUGCCGAAAUUGUGGCCAAGGUGAAGGACCGAAACAGCGACCAGAGGGGGGUGAAUGGGAGCCUAUAAAAAUUCUCAACGAAAACAAGGUCUAUGUCCCAAACGCAACCCCAAAGCACACCGUGCGUUCAAUCGUCAAGAUGACGCAAGUCAACUCGUGACAAGCUCACCCUAGGAACGAUAAGAGACGCACAAAUCACAGCGGAAAUAUAGCGUGAAUCGACUCCAUCAAAAUUGCACAGAUGAGACAAAACAAAAAUACUACUAACCACUUACUUAACUAGGUAUGAAAGGAUUAGUAAUAGAUUAAAUAAACUACAUAAAUUUAGUAAGAUAAAUCACUUAACAAUUAGCUAAACAAGCUGAUACAGAUUAAUUAGCUAAGUGAAGGAAUUAAUAGAGAACUAAUCGAAUUAGCAAUAGAGAAAGAAAAACUCACAGGUUGGCACGGCUUGCUUCUCACCUGGACAAUUGCUAUUGGACUGCGUGCCCCUGCUACUUCCUGUUGGCCUACCUGGCCUUGCUAGGCCUGCCUCACGUGAAAGGCCUGCUUGGCCUGUGAAGCGAACGGUCUGUUGGGCUGGUUGGUUAGCUACGCUCGUCCCUGGGCUGCCUGCUCCCGCAAGCUGGGUCUGCUGCGGCCUGCUGACGGCCCGUUGCACUGCUUCGUUGCACGUGAGCACGAGCGCUGCUGCGUGCACGGCACGUGCGCUUGCGUCGUCUUGCCUGAUGGUCCGCUGUCCAGAGAACCUGCGCGAACAGAGACAGGAACACCAAGAACAACCGAAGAACAAGAACAAACUUCAAAUCAUAAGAUCUCCCCCCAUACUUCGCGGAUCGAGAUGAAACUUGAGACACGGAUGCAAUACCCCAAGGGCAAAUAGAUCCAUGAAACAAAUCCUGAAAAGCUCAAGAAUUCAUCACUAAUUUUAGAGAAAAUCGAAACCCUAACUCAAGAACACGAUUUGGGAAAAUUCAAAAUUCAAGCCAGAUUCGUGAAGGAUUUGAAGGGGGAUCAUAUCAAAGAUGCUUCUUAAGGACCUAGCAAUAUUUCCCUUCAACCAAUCUCACGAGAUUCGAGCUUAAACACGAAGAACAAUAAAUCCCCAAAAAUAGCUCCGAAAAUAGCGAAAUAGAAAAACGCUCGGGAGACAAAGAUUUAGCACGAAUUGAGACAUCAAAACACAACUAAAUCAAGAGGACAACAUCUUUACAAGAUGAGGACUAGCCUCCUCCCUUCAUCCACCCACUAGAGAUGAAGAAAUCAAGAGAAAAGAGUAAUCACUCUCUAAUCUCCCUCUCUCCUCUCACUUUAAGCACAUGACUAGCCUCUAAGCAAAUAGAUAAUGAGUUGCUAAGCAAAGAGGUGCUGAAAUAACCAGCCCCCCAUCCCUAUUUAUAGUCCAGGACGAAAGACUAUACUACCCCUACAGCUACAACUAAGAUAACUACCCACGCAGGGGUAUUUUGGUCCAAGUUUUUAUCCGUGCAUCGGAUGGACACGCCGCCUUCACGACUUUGCUUCGCCUUGACGCAAGCUUCGCGAUGACGCCACGUGCCCUCCUUCUCAAAGCUCCGGUCGCACCGGGCUCGCCCCCGGUUUUGAGGCCCAAACCGGGAAACCUGCCUGCCCGGUGGUUUUGAGGCCCAAACCACCCAAACCGUCCAUUAACGCGUGUCCGGCCUCCGCCAAGCCUCCCGCUUGACUCGACCGACACCGUCUCCAACCUGUCAUGCCCUCUCGCCAUUCCGUGCACCAUGUGGAUCGCCGUGACUUCGCCCGGACUUCUCGGGUUCAUCGGUCCAAGCCUACUCGCGUUCAUCCUUCACCGCUCUUGGUCCAUCGGCAUGAACCUUUCGCUUGACCUUCACCGCACGCCGUCGACCGCCACGUCGCAUCCUACACCUGCACAUCACAAGCCAAGAGCAACAUCAAACCAACACAGCGUUGUCAAUCACUCAUCAUCCAAGGGUGACCACCAUUGGUCCUCAAUCUCCCCCUUGAUGAGUGCAUUGACAACACCCCACAAAUUCAUAGUAUUGAAACAGAAAAACAAGAAACUCAAAAUAGAAAAAUCUCAGUCCCCUAAGAUAAGGGCAACGGCUCUACACAACUGAGACAAAAUCAUGUGAUCCCUCAAGAAGAGGCAGAAAACGGGCUCAACACCAAUCACAUGAAAAUCCAAACUCAAAUAAAAAACCGGCUCCUCAAGAAGAGGUAAAACAGCUCAACGCGACCGGUACAAAGGCUCUUAACAAGAGUAUAACAACUCAUAAAUACUCCCCCUGAAUAUAUGCACUCCCCCUGAAAACAUGCAUACAUGCAAAGUCUCCCUCUUGACAGAUGAAAGAAUUUGUGUAGAUUUCUCUCCCCCUUGUUGACAAUGCAACCAUCAAGAAAAGGAUAAAAGCACAAAAUGCAUGCCAUGGAAAAGCAGAACCUAACAAGCUUCUCAAAUAUAUCACAAUGCACUCUCAAAGGCUACUAGGGAGAUAAAGCUUGAUAGAUCAUAAGAAACAAUAGCAUCGCCAACAAGAUGAUAUCAAGUUACAAUAGUGGAGGUGAAGCAAGUAUCAAGUUUUAGCAAUGUAUAAAAAGAUCACCACAUGAGCAUUCACCUAGUUAAGAAUCACCCAAGCAAGAAUAGACUAGUCCAUCAAGAGCUCAUACUAGGAAAAUCCAUUCUCAACAAGAGAUCAUUGCAAACACCCACAUAUGCAUCACAAGUCAUGUUUAAAGCUUGUUGAAACCAAGUGUCUACUUCUUUUGGUAGACAUCUUGUAACAACUAAGCAAGCAAUAAUAUCACAUUAAGCACAAAAACUUGGUGAAUUUAUGAAGUUUUCAGCAUAUUUCUUUUUAGUAUUCACACAAAGCAAAAUACAUGAAGUGCCUUUGCGGCACAAAGAAGCCAUGCUUCCCCAAGGGGUGCAUCAUGGGCUAAACAUUUGCAAUGAUACCUAGAUCUUGGACCCAAUUGAAAAGAACACGAAUUCCAAACAGAAGCUAGAUAUGGAACCAGUAUUCAACCAAGGGCAAACCAUAACCAAGCAUCUACUCAUGGGUGAUAAGCAAGUUAAUAGAGUAGAAUUUAGCAUUAAAUUUCAAAAACAGUUAUCUCAACAAGUGUACAAUAUCAUCAAGAGCAUAACUGCACAUUGCAUCAAAAUCACCAACCACAGCACUAGCUCACAAGUAGCAUAAGGGAGUACACAAGAUAUAUAGGAGAAGCUCAUCUAGUGCAACAUGAUACAAAAUGCAAUAUGAUACAAAAAGCAUGGAAACUAAGCUAAAAUGAUACAGAUGAACAACAUACCCAAAUGUGAACUAAGGUAAAGCAUGACAUGAUGUUCAUAUGUAUCAUCCACCACAAUAUAUCACAAAAAUAGCAUGAUAAGAUAUACAUGAAGAACUCAAAGCUAUCAUAAAAAAGUGGCUAUCCUACCAUAUUUUGUACAAAAAUGAUACAAGUAUAAUACAAGAGAAGCUCCAAAAACCCAACUCAGAAAGGAAAGCAAACACCCAACUCCCCCCGCAAACGAGCAAAAGUGGCUUGAUCCAGGGGUUUGGUGAAAAUGUCCGCGAGUUGGUUUUGGGUAGCAACAUAGCCAAGGUCAAUAUCCCCUUUCUCAACAUGAUCUCUCAGAAAAUGAUAUCUCACAUCAAUGUGUUUAGUUUUUGAGUGGAGAACGGGGUUCUUGGCUACACUAAUGGCACUCGUGCUGUCACAAAGAAGAGGUACACAAGUAAAAUCCAAACCAAAGUCUCUCAAAGUGGAAAUCAUCCAAAGCAGCUGAGAACAAUAGCUAGCAGCAGCAACAUACUCAGCUUCGGUGGUAGACUGAGCAACACUAGAUUGUUUGCGAGAAGACCAAGAGACCAAAGAUGAACCGAGAAACUGGCAAGUACUCGAGGUAGACUUGCGAUCCAAGCGACACCCAGCAAAGUCCGCAUCGGAGUAUCCCUGGAGCGUGAGUGUCGAGGAGGCAGAAUACCACAAACCGAACUCAGGGGUAAAGCGGAGAUACCUCAUGAUCCUCUUCACUGCUUGACGGUGAGAUGUCCUCGGUGAAGCCUGAAAACGAGCGCACAGACACACGGCGAAGUGUAUGUCCGGCCUCGUCGCCGUCAGGUACAAGAGGGAGCCGAUCAUACUUCUGUACUCCUUCUGGUCCACCGGUUCGCCAUCUUCAUCCGUAUCUAGUGCCGUCGUCGUACCCAUGGGUGUGGAGAGUGGCUUAGCAUCAGCCAUGUCAAACUUCCUCAACACGUCCUUCGUGUACUUCACUUGGUGCACGAAGGUUCCUUCCUUGCUUUGCUUGAUUUGUAGUCCGAGGAAGAAGGUCAACUCACCCAUCAUUGACAUCUCAAACUCCCUACUCAUGUCAUCUGCAAACUUGGCAACCAAAGCAUGAGAAGAACCACCAAAGAUAAUAUCAUCCACGUAUAUCUGAAUAAUCAAUAAGUCAUUUCCUUGCCUGAGGAGAAAGAGUGUUUUAUCAACUGAUCCCAUUUCAAACCCAUUCCCAAGCAAAAAGGAUUUCAAUCUAGCAUACCACGCUCGGGGUGCUUGUUUUAGGCCAUAGAGAGCUUUCUGGAGUUUGAAAACACGAUCAGGAUAUUUAUGAUUCUCAAAAUCAGGAGGUUGUUUCACAUACACUUCCUCCUCUAUGAAACCAUUUAGAAAGGCACUUUUCACAUCCAUUUGGAAGAGCUUAAAACCUUUAGCCACAGAGAAGGCUAGAAGGAUUCUAAUUGCUUCCAAACGGGCAACAGGGGCAAAGGUUUCUUCAUAAUCUAUCCCCUCUUUUUGGCUAAAACCUUGGGCAACCAACCUCGCUUUAUUUCUCACAAUCAACCCAUCCUCACCUUGUUUAUUUUUGAAAACCCAUUUUGUUCCUAUAGGAUGGCAAUUUGGAGGUGGUUCAACUAAAACCCAAACCCUGUUUCGCUCAAAGUUCUCCAACUCCUCAUGCAUGGCAUUAACCCAAUUUGAAUCAGAUAAAGCAUGUCCAAUAUCUCAGGGUUCGAAAGAGGCAACAAAUGCAGAAUGUGCAAAGUGUGAAAUAUGCCUAGAGCUGUGCCUAGUGGUGCGUUCAUGUAAGUUACCGAUCAUCUGUUGUGGAGGAUGACGACGCUGAAUAUGCCGUGGAGCCUCUCGCUCUGAAGUCGCCUCCCCCUCAACAGCAGCUGGAUCACUCUGAUCUUCUUCUUCAUCCUGUAGUGGUACUGGUUGAUGGCUUGAAGUAGUGGAAGUAGAGGUAGGGCCAUCAACUCUCGUAGUCGAAGUAGAAGGUACAGGUGCAACAGCUGGAGCUCGGUCAAUCUCAUCAUCCUCUUCCUCACCACCAUCUACACGCUCUUCCUCUUCCUCAAAUAUGCUUUGCCCCAUUUCAUGUUCACCUGCAACUUCAAAGAUAGAAGUUGUGCAAGGCAUAGUUUCAUCGAAUGUAAUCUCACAAGUUUCCACGAUUCGGUUAGUUUCAAGGUUAAGCACACGAUAAGCACGACUAUGAGAAGCAUAACCAAGAAAAAUCCCAUCCGUAGAACGAGACUCAAAUUUAUCCAAAUUUCCUUGCUUGAGAAUGAAACACUUGCAGCCAAACACCCUCAGGUGACUCACUUUGGGGGAACGUCGAUGCAUCAGCUCAUAAGAAGUUUUCUUCAGGAAAGCUCGCAAAAAGAUUCGAUUGGACACAUAGCAAGCAGUGUUGACGGCUUCGGCCCAAUAUUUUCUAGGAGUCCUAUGCUCAUCAAGCAUCGUCCUAGCCAUUUCACAAAGGGUCCGAUUCUUCCGUUCAACAACACCAUUCUGAGGAGGGACAUAAGGCGAUGAAAACUGGUGUUCAAGACCAAGAUCAUUGCAAAAGGAUUUAAAACGAGCGUUCUUGAAUUCUGUGCCAUUGUCACUGCGGAUAGCUCUCAUGGCAUCUUUUGGUCGCUCGUUUCUCAACCUCAAGAUCAAAUCUCGAACAAAAGGAAAUGCCUCAUCCUUAGAUUCCAUGAAGAAAACCCAUGAAUACCUCGAAAAAUCAUCAACGAUCACAAGCACAUACCACUUCCCACCGACUGAACAAACACGAGCUGGACCAACAGUGUCCAUAUGCAACAGCUCGCCUGGAUGUUCAGUCAUCACCUGAUUCACAGGUGGAUGGGAAGCAGCAACCAUCUUCCCAUGUCGACAGGGAGCACAAACAAGAUCUUUCUCAAACUUCAAUUUGGGCAAACCACGAAUAAGAUCCAAAGUACUCAAGCGGGAAAGCAAAUCAAAGCUCAAAUGACCCAAUCUCCUAUGCCAUUUCCAAAGUUCAGAAGAUGAGCCAGCCACUAAACACCGAGAGAGACCAAAUGACUUGGAAAAAUCAACUCGAAACACUUGACCCUCGGGGACGAUCAUACACACAAGAUCGCCUCGAGAGUCUAAAAUCCUUGAGGUCCCUUGCUUAAAACGGACCUCAAAACCAUCAUCAAGCAGUUGCGACACAGAGAGCAAAUUGAAACCAAGAGAAUCAACUAGAGCAACUCGCUUGAGCAUGAAAUUCUCACUCACCUUGAUAACACCUUCAGACAACACCUUACCUUUGCUAUUAUCCCCGAAAGUGAUGUACUCCUUGGUCAUCACCGGGGUGAGGCUGGAGAACCAUCUGUGAUCACCGGUCAUGUGUCGAGAGCAACCAGAAUCAAUAAGCCACGUGUUCUCCAGGCCUCCGACCUGGUCAAACAAAGGGAGACCAAGGAUGAGCAAAUGACUCAACACUGGGGUUAGAAAAACAAGUAGAAUACCAGUGUCGAACCAUUUGCUCAAGAGUGGGGUUAUCAAAAUCAACCAUCUCUCGUCUCACAGGAGGACUACGGCCGACGCUAGGGGGAAAACGUGGUCCGUUGUAGCUCCGAGACUCAAAGUCACGGCCAUAUUGUCCUGGGCCAUAUUGAUCAUGGCGAGGAGCAUGCCUAGCAAAAACACGUGAAGGAGCAAAACGCACACUAUCCACACGACGAGGUGGAGGAGCUGCUCUAGGCGCAUGUACACCAUGAGAAGGGUGGUACAUGUCCCUGUUGCCCCACUCACGCUCACACCUCAAAGCCUUCUUGUUGCGAAAGUAAAACUCCUUAAGGUGACCCCAUCUCUUGCAAUACUCACAGUGGAAUCUAGCAGGCUGUUUUGGCUGAGGAUUCACUCUAGGUUGUGGCUUGUCUUGGGGUUUUGGUGGAGGUUUCUUAGGAGCAAUUUCUGGAAGUGUGUCAAGUUUGUUCUUAAGGUGGUUUGGCUUUUCCACCCAAAUGGCUUUCUUGGGUGCUUUAGGUGGUGUCUCAAUGAAAAUUCCAUCUCUCACACACUCAGACAAGUUUUGCUCACAAGCUGGAUUGGGUUGCUCUCUAUUUUUAGUGGGUGACUCUCAAAGGGUGUAGUCAAUUGGUGGCUCACACUGAUUGUAGCUUGGUUUCUUUCUCUCACCACUGUUUUGACCCACCUUCUCACACAACCCAUCAAAGAACUUGUGCAACCCAUUAAAAAGACAUCCCUUCAUAACCGACCCAAGCCUAAAACCAUCAGCCCUUUUGAACUCCUGAAUCAUCAUGCCUAGCUGAGGUUCCCUACUUGACACCCAACUAAGAACAGUGCGCAAGUAGGAGUUUUCAUCCCCAACAUGUUGCAAAUUAAGCUUGAGUUCAGGACAAACAGUGCAUUCAGGAAGUUUAGAUCUAGCAAUAAACUCAGACUUCUCUAAAGCACUAAGCUUAGCACAUGCAUCAUCCAACUGAACUUGCAAAGCAGGGCAAGACUUACAUGCACCAAGCAAAAUAGGCCUAGUCUUGACCUCAUCUAAAGCAGCCCUAGUCAAAUCCAAUUCAUCUACCAAUAAAGCAUGCUUAGAUUGUAAAGAUGCAAGACUAGCCAUAUGAACACCACAUUCAUCACACUCAACAACAUCGGAAACAGUAGAAGCAGAUUUAAGCAUAUCUAUUUCAAUCAAGGCACUUUCUAACUUAGCCUUAAGCUCAACUUGCUCUUUAGCAGCCUUCUUAAGCAGUUUAUCUUGAUUGAUUAGGCAAUCAUUAAGUUCUUCUACUUCUAGAGCAAGUUGUUCAGGAGUAGGCUUUACCUCAGUUUCUGUGUCGGAGUCACUUUCCUUGUCAUCCUUCUUGGAGUUGAGAGCCAUGACACAGUACCCGUCGCGGUUCUUGUCGGAGUAGAAGCAGAGGCCAUUGAAGUUCUUGCCGUCCUUCUUCUUUGCCUUGCGGUCGUCGUCCUCCUCGCUUGAGCUUGAGUCGGUGUGGUCGUCGGUGUCGGAGUCGACGUCGCUGAGGGAGGCGAUGAAGGCACGUGCUUUGGCCUUCUUGCGAUACUCCUUCUUCUCGCGGUCGGUGUACUUCUUCUUCUUCUUGGUACCGUCCUUGCUCUUGUGCUUGUUGUAGUCGUACUUGCUCUUGGUUUUGUUCUUUUCGGGGCAGUCGGCGGCGAAGUGGCCUGGCUUGCCACAAUCGAAGCAGUUGUUGUUGUUCCUUCGCCUGUUCUUGCGGUUGUCGUUGAAGCGCAUGAAUCGCCUCGUGAUCAAGGCGAGCUCAUCAUCAUCAAGAACUUCCAGCUGCUCCUCUAAAACAGAAACCAAAGAAGACAAGGCAAACGACAUGGAAGAAGAGUUACUCAAAGACUUAGGCUGUCCAGAGCCUGACAUGAGAGCCAUACUAUUUGGAUCAGUAGGGCUUCCUUGUUUUGCUCGGAGCCUCUUGUCAACCUCCGUGGAUUUCAACUUGGCAAAGAGUUCAUCAAUGGAAAGUGUUUCAUAAUUCGGUGAUUCGAUGAUAGCAUCAACCUUCGUACCCCACACUUCGUGAUCCAAGGCAUGCAGGAGCUUUAAAGCUCUAUCAUGAUCAGUGUAGGGUAAGACGGUGAUAUUUGCUUUCAUCUUGUUCACAAUAGCCAAGAAACGCUGAAACAAAGCAUCGGCAGACUCACCAGGCAAAUGAACAAAGUUCUCAUACUCACGCCUAUAAGUCUCAAAGAGUCUAGCCUUCACCUGACUGUUUCCCUCGUGGAAACUCUGAAGUCGAGACCAAAUCUCAUGAGCAAGAGAGAGAUCUUCGACUCGAUCGAACUCAGCACGACUCAGACUCGCAAACAGAAUAUCAACCGCCUUGCUGUUGGCGUGAUACUUAUCCCUUUCAUCCUGAGUCACACGAGUAGCAGGAAUCACAUAAGUCACAUCCUGAGUGAUUUCCCAAACCCCUGCUCCCCUACUAUUUAGAUGGGCUCUCAUGCGAGUUUUCCAAUACCGAUAAUCAGAGCCAUCAAAGUAGGGUGCAGCGGUCGAGGAAGAACGCUCAGAGGUCGCCAUAAUAGGUUUUGAAACCGAUUAGGGUAUGGAGAAACCUUAACCGGCUCUGAUACCAAUUGAAGGACCGAAACAGCGACCAGAGGGGGGGGGGUGAAUGGGAGCCUAUAAAAAUUCUCAACGAAAACAAGGCCUAUGUCCCAAACGCAACCCCAAAGCACACCGUGCGUUCAAUCGUCAAGAUGACGCAAGUCAACUCGUGACAAGCUCACCCUAGGAACGAUAAGAGACGCACAAAUCACAGCGGAAAUAUAGCGUGAAUCGACUCCAUCAAAAUUGCACAGAUGAGACAAAACAAAAAUACUACUAACCACUUACUUAACUAGGUAUGAAAGGAUUAGUAAUAGAUUAAAUAAACUACAUAAAUUUAGUAAGAUAAAUCACUUAACAAUUAGCUAAACAAGCUGAUACAGAUUAAUUAGCUAAGUGAAGGAAUUAAUAGAGAACUAAUCGAAUUAGCAAUAGACAAAGAAAAACUCACAGGUUGGCACGGCUUGCUUCUCACCUGGACAAUUGCUAUUGGACUGCGUGCCCCUGCUACUUCCUGUUGGCCUACCUGGCCUUGCUAGGCCUGCCUCACGUGAAAGGCCUGCUUGGCCUGUGAAGCGAACGGUCUGUUGGGCUGGUUGGUCAGCUACGCUCGUCCCUGGGCUGCCUACUCCCGCAAGCUGGGUCUGCUGCGGCCUGCUGACGGCCCGUUGCACUGCUUCGUUGCACGUGAGCACGAGCGCUGCUGCGUGCACGGCACGUGCGCUUGCGUCGUCUCGCCUGAUGCUCCGCUGUCCAGAGAACCUGCGCGAACAGAGACAGGAACACCAAGAACAACCGAAGAACAAGAACAAACUUCAAAUCAUAAGAUCUCCCCCCAUACUUCGCGGAUCGAGAUGAAACUUGAGACACGGAUGCAAUACCCCAAGGGCAAAUAGAUCCAUGAAACAAAUCCUGAAAAGCUCAAGAAUUCAUCACUAAUUUUAGAGAAAAUCGAAACCCUAACUCAAGAACACGAUUUGGGAAAAUUCAAAAUUCAAGCCGGAUUCGUGAAGGAUUUGAAGGGGGAUCAUAUCAAAGAUGCUUCUUAAGGACCUAGCAAUAUUUCCCUUCAACCAAUCUCACGAGAUUCGAGCUUAAACACGAAGAACAAUAAAUCCCCAAAAAUAGCUCCGAAAAUAGCGAAAUAGAAAAACGCUCGGGAGACAAAGAUUUAGCACGAAUUGAGACAUCAAAACACAACUAAAUCAAGAGGACAACAUCUUUACAAGAUGAGGACUAGCCUCCUCCCUUCAUCCACCCACUAAAGAUGAAGAAAUCAAGAGAAAAGAGUAAUCACUCUCUAAUCUCCCUCUCUCCUCUCACUUUAAGCACAUGACUAGCCUCUAAGCAAAUAGAUAAUGAGUUGCUAAGCAAAGAGGUGCUGAAAUAACCAGCCCCCCAUCCCUAUUUAUAGUCCAGGACGAAAGACUAUACUACCCCUACAGCUACAACUAAGAUAACUACCCACGCAGGGGCAUUUUGGUCCAAGUUUUUAUCCGUGCAUCGGAUGGACACGCCGCCUUCACGACUUUGCUUCGCCUCGACGCAAGCUUCGCGAUGACGCCACGUGCCCUCCUUCUCAAAGCUCCGGUCGCACCGGGCUCGCCCCCGGUUUUGAGGCCCAAACCGGGAAACCUGCCUGCGCGGUGGUUUUGAGGCCCAAACCACCCAAACCGUCCAUUGACGCGUGUCCGGCCUCCGCCAAGCCUCCCGCUUGACUCGACCGACGCCGUCUCCAACCUGUCAUGCCCUCUCGCCAUUCCGUGCACCAUGUGGAUCGCCGUGACUUCGCCCGGACUUCUCGGGUUCAUCGGUCCAAGCCUACUCGCGUUCAUCCUUCACCGCUCUUGGUCCAUCGGCAUGAACCUUUCGCUUGACCUUCACCGCAUGCCGUCGACCGCCACGUCGCAUCCUACACCUGCACAUCACAAGCCAAGAGCAACAUCAAACCAACACAGCGUUGUCAAUCACUCAUCAUCCAAGGGUGACCACCAUUGGUCCUCACAAGGACGCCAAUCUCAUAAUAUCCUAUACUUGAGUGGUCACUCGGCACUUCGUCCUUGCUGGACUAGUCAAGAUCAUUCCAUCAUGGUUCCCAGCGCACUUGACACUCAAGUCCAUGUUCAUUAGUCCCAGAAAAUGUUUGUGGUCGCCGCCACCGCUAGCUAAUAUAUGCUUGCAAUCACAUCUUCAUAUGCGUAUGCUAUGGUUUAGAAUCCAAUACAUUUCCUGUUCAGCACUUUCUAUUGUCACUCUCUAUAGAGAUUGCAUGGACUACUCUGUCAUCAAUACAGCUCCAUUUUGAUAGCUCCGAAUAUAUGAAUUCUGUGCUGCAACAGCAGUGCAGAAUUAGUGAUGGAUUAGUUUGCCCACACUGGAUAGAUUGCCAUUUCUGACGUGUAAACGUUGUUAGACCAGCAUUGUACGGUUGAAAAACAACAGGUGCAUGAGUUUCUCCUCAUGAAAAAUGCACAACCAAAAGCAUGACAAAACCACAUGUUUAAAGACGAAAAAAUAAACCGGAUGGGAUCACAUGGUUGGGGGGGGGGGUUGAAAACUGGAUGAUGUUAGUACGAAACAUGAAACAUCAAAACCAUUUCGUAUAACACUUCUUUUUAGCUCAUGGUUGGAAUCAAUUAAGGCGAAGCCAGAAUGCCGGAUACAGACAAGCAACAGGAAUUAUUGUAAUCUCGAUCAUUUUACCCCAGAACCAACACGUACGGCGCUGAAAAUUUCUUCUGAGGACGUACAAGCUAGUGGCUCUUUGGGAAAAAUAAUGUAAAGGGAAGUUACCAAAUUUCAGAGAUCACAACUUAUGCGUGGUCUAUGAGCUCGUUCCUGGCGAUGUGGGACAUAUGAAGAAGCAGCAUGCUAACCAUCUUACUGUUACUAAUUGGAGGCUUCUUUUGAAGCCUCCAGGUGAAGCCACCUAGGAUUCCUAGGUGGACACUCAGAGAAACCUUAGAAAUUCUCAAAAAAAGCAAAACAUCCAACCAUCGAUCGAUAGAUUCAAAUCAUCAUAGCCAUUAGAUCUAUUAUGUUUUCUAAAAAAUUACCCACCUAUGCCAUUAUGAAAAUAGCCUAAAGUAACCUCCUAAAUCUAUAUAUAAAUUACCCACCUCUGUCAUUAUAUAAAAUAAACAAAAAUAACCCCUUAAUCUUCAUCAAAAUUACCCACUUAUGCUAUUAUAAAUAAUAAUUAAAAUAACCCCCUAAUUUGCAACCAAAUUGCCCACCGCUAUUACUUAAAAACUUAAAGUAACCCGUUAAAUUUGCAUCAAUAUUAUCCACACAUGCCAUUAUUAAAAAUAACAUGAUAACCCUACGUUUGAAUCAAACAACCUUAAUUAAAAAUAUACAGCAAUAUAUGAUUCUAAAUCGUCUAUAUCUUGCACUAUCGGUAUAUGAUAUAAUAAUUAAGGUCUAUACACAUGAUGUGUCACCAUUUAUAAAGAUAUAGAGGAAGUGAUGAGAAUAUAUAGUUCUAUGUUAAAAUUGUAUCACAAACUUAGGGUUCAUUAAACAAAUUCAAGCGCAUACCUACCAAUGCAAAGUGAAAAGUUAAAGAUUAUAAAUGUGGAUGAAAAUAUUAUAGAGUAAUUACUAACUAAAAUCUAUCACAAUUCGAUGAAGAUAAUAAUAUGUAUCUAUUGUGUUUGAAUAUUUAACAAACGAGAGGUAUCUUAUGGUAAUAUUUUUUAGCAAUGUAGUCCCAUUUUUUUUUCAUUGGAGACUCCGCAUUAGUUCCCAUGAGACAAGCUAGAAAAAAAUAAGACAAAUUCUCAUAAAAAUCAAAACAUCAAACACCAAUCAUGUAAACUCUAAUAAUCAUAGCCAUUGAUCUAUUAUAUUUUCACCACUAUCAUUGUGAAAAUAUUUAAAAAUGAGCUCUAAACCUAUAUCUAAAUUACCGAGCUCAGAUAUUAUAAAAAAUAAUCUAAAGUAAUCCCAUAAUCUUCAUCCAAUUUACUAAUACAUAUCAUUAUAAAGCAUAACUUAAAAUAUCAUUCUAAAAUUUAAUCUAUAUUACCCACGUUAGUUGUUAUUAAAAAUAACCUAAAUUAAACAUCUAAAUCUUAAUCUAAUUAUCUUCAUGUGCAUCAUACAGAAAUGUCAAAAAUAAACUAAUAUAUAAUUCUAAAUUACUUAUUUAUGUUAUUUUUAAUAUAAAAAUACUAAGUUAAAGUAUAUACAUAUGAUGAGUGUCACCAUUUAGACCAUUUAUACAUGUAUGUGAGGAAUCGAUGAAAAAUAUUGAUUUGUAUGCUAAACAUAAUGUAUGGAGGAUUGGAGGUGCGAUACAAAAUGGAAAAAGUAUGAAUAUGGAUGAAAAAAUGCAUAGAGUAAUUAUUAAUUAAAAAUUAAUCAUAACUGGACAAAGAUAGGUACAUAUCUAUAUAAGUAUUAUGUUGAUGUAUUGAAAAAAAUAAGAGAGUAGUAGGUAAUCAAUUUUGAUUAUUAGCUAGAAGUUUAAUUUCUAAAGAAUUUUCAAAUAUAAUAGCUUCUAAAAACAUUAGGAGCACGGGUCGAUAGACUAGUGCUUAUAAUUUGCAGCUACAUCGUGCCAAAACCAUGUGAACAAGACGAUCGACCAGAACUAUAAAAAGAACAGAGCUGGCACAUCUAUAAGAUACUUUUUAGAUGGAGCAUGGAACCGGAGGAUAUGGUUGCAGUAAGAGUUGCUAGAUAUCCGCUAGUUUCCGGUGACAGAGAUUAAGAGAGAUUGGUGAGCUGUUAGUGGAAACUUUAAUAGCCAAGUAUGGUGAGCUGUUCAUCGUCAGCCUCAUCAUCUUGAGCGCAGGCUUGGGAGCAGCCUCUCAUAUAUGAAUCGGACACCCUCCAUCCCUUUCCACGACCGGCAUCGUGGCCGUGCUGACAGCACCGACACCACUCCUCACUGUCACCGCUGUCGCCACUGGAGCCGCAGUGCAGAUACAGCGCACUAUGCAGAACAGACCAUCCCAUUCCACACGACCGGCAUCAUGGCCGUGCUGACAGCACCGACACCACGCCUCACUGUCACCGCUGGCGCCACUGGAGCCGCAGUGCAGAUACAGCGCACUCUGCAGAAUAGAACCUUGUCGUAUUCAAAUUUGCACCGUUUGGAUACCUCGUGUAGCACAUGUCAUCAGAUAUAUGAACGCUAACCAGGAGUAUUAAAUAUAGAUUAAUUAAAAAAUUAAUUGCACAGAUGGAGUCUAAUUCGUGAGACGAAUCUAUUAAGCAUGAUUUGACAAUGUAGUGUUACAAUAACCAUUUGCGAUUGAUGGAUUAAUUAAGCUUAAUAGAUUCGUCUCGCGAAUUAGCACAGGAUUCUGCAAUUAGUUUUAUAAUUAGCUCAUGUUUAGUCCUCUUAAUUAGCAUCCGAACAUCCGAUAUAACAUUGCUAAAUCUUAGCACCAGUAUCAAACCCUCACGAGCUUGUACACAAAUUCCAAACUAGAGGACGGUUUAUUCUUGCAAACAUAACAACUGAUGACCAAACAUCCAGCAAGAGAGAUACAGAGAGGAACGAAGGAUGUGUAAGGAUACAUCAAAAUACAAGGCCAGAUCCUUUGAGUUUCUCUUGUACGAUGUCGUCCAAUUUCCUGGCCAUUUCUUCACUAAUGUGAUUCACCCAAUCCCCCACCUUCCCUCUUCUAAAGUAUGCUGAUUUUUUAACCACUACGCUUCCCCUUUGAACAACUUCUGUUUGACUACUGUUCACUCCACUAAGCGUCUUGAAGCUGCACAAUCUCACAAGCUCUUCAGGAACCCCGGCAUCUUCUUCUUCACCGGUAAAUGGGACACCGAGGAAUGAUGCCAGCACCUUGACAAACUUUACCGGCUCUAACAUCAUCUCUUCAUACUUUAGGAAAAGAAUUCUAUCAGACUUAACGCUCUCUCUCCAAUAUUCGAGACAGUGAUCCCAGUAAGGACCAUAGUCCAAUACGCCCUCGCAAAACAUGUUGAAUGCAACAUUAAUAUCAGUUUUUUCUCCAAAAAAAUCACUUACAAAGUGCCACCGUGACACGAAUGC
rnacentral:lncRNA from 1 species